GCCUGGUUUUUGUGCCUACGUCCUGAAGGCUCUCUGGCAGGCUGUCACCCUGUUGCUGGCCCUCAUCUGGGUGCGACUGAGUGAAGGUCGAUGCUCCCACCUACUGAUGCAGAACCCUCCGUCGGUGCCAACUCUCGGGGUGUGCUGGAUCUUCUGCCGAAUUGUCAACCCCAAGUGUCGAUUCAUCAUCGACUGGCACAACUACGGAUACUCAGCAGUCAUAGCAGCUGCGCCUCUUUCCAAUAAUAAGACAUUAUAUAAAUUAAAUAGUAAAAAGAUGCACGAGAAAAGCCAAGAUCCUGACUCGUACCCAUUCUUGGUCUGCGUCAUCACAGGCAAAGGGCCUCUUAACAAAUUAGUAAAAUACCAAAGGUCACAUAAUAUAAAUAAACUAUUUUUAGAAAAUUUUGUGGAAAUUUUCGAUGACCAUCCCAAACAAUGAACCCCUUCGCCCAGGAUUGCCAAUGCCAAGCCAAUUCCUUCUGUUGCACCCGCCUGCAACUGCAGUGGCGAGGCGAGUGUGUUCGCGGUUUGCUUUGCAUUGCGAGAGCGCAGAAGAGAACGAGAGAAGCAGGAGCAGCGAAGGAGCCUUCAGGACAACGUGGAGUAUGAAAGCAAGAACCAAAUUUGCUUACAACCAACAGAAAGAGAUUAUUCAAAACUUUUCUCACCACCAAUGAAUCCAACCAGAUUGUACUUUGACUCAUUUCGAAGCAACAGAGUCUCUGGAAUGUCACCAUCAGCAAUGGCUCCUACCAGGUUUUUGCCCUCACUGAAUGUCACGACAAGCAUCUCGGGAGUGGCAACCAUUUGUAACAUAAGAUUUCCAUCGCACUGAAAAAACAAUUUAGGUCCUGGGCAGCCAUGUUGUCAACAUCGGAUAAACGACGAACCUCUGUCGCUGCGGAAAUGGACAACAUUAAGAGAGCAAAGCACAAACCAAAGUAACUUACGAUAGGGUCAUUGCUGCUAUUUGGAAAAGGCGCUCUCCCUCCUGCGUUAGAGAUCCAUUGCAGGAUAUUAUCGACACAAACAGCUGGCGAAGGGCAGGGAUUUUGCAACGGGAGAUAAUCAACGAGCAUGCCUCAACCAGCUGUGUUUGGCUGACGGAUGCUUUCCAAAGAUGGAAUUUUAUUACGGAACCUUGUCCGAACGACAAGGGAAUCCUCGACAAGAACUUUCUCUAGAGAAAUACCAAAAAGAAUAUAUCCUGAAGAUAUAAAUAGGUAGAAGAAAAUACGUACGAGUCAAGUCGACGUCCCUUGUCUCAAGCAGCUGGA